GAUGAACGCUGGCGGCGUGCCUAAUACAUGCAAGUCGAGCGGACAGACGAGGAGCUUGCUCCUCUGCCGUUAGCGGCGGACGGGCGAGUAAAACGUGGAUAACCUACCUCUUAGACUGGGAUAACUUCGGGAAAACGGAGCUACUACCGGAUAAUAUAUUGAACCGCAUGGAUCAAUAGUGCAAGACGGCUUUCCUGUCACUUAUAGAUGGAUCCGGGCUGCCUUAGCUAGUUGGUAAGGUAACGCCCUACCAAGGGAACGAUGCUUAGCCGACCGGAGAGAUUGAUCGGCCAAACGGGAACUGAAACACGGUCCGAACUCCUACGGGAGGCAGCAGUAGGGAAUCUGCCGCAAUGGGCGAAAGCCUGACGGAGCAACGCCGCGGGGGUGAUGAAGGUCUUCGGAUCGUAAAACUCUGUUAUUAGGGAAGAACAAAUGUGUAAGUAACUAUGCACGUCUUGACGGUACCUAAUCAGAAAGCCACGGCUAACUACUU
rnacentral:rRNA from 1 species